UGGCUCAGAUGGUAAAGCAUCUGCCUGCAAUGCAGGAGACCCAGGUUUGAUUCCUGG
rnacentral:tRNA from 1 species